CCUACGGGAGGCAGCAGUGGGGAAUUUUGGACAAUGGACGAAAGUCUGAUCCAGCCAUGCCGCGUGCGGGAAGAAGGCCUUCGGGUUGUAAACCGCUUUUGUCAGGGAAGAAAUCCUUUGAGUUAAUACCUCGGGGGGAUGACGGUACCUGAAGAAUAAGCACCGGCUAACUACGUGCCAGCAGCCGCGGUAAUACGUAGGGUGCAAGCGUUAAUCGGAAUUACUGGGCGUAAAGCGUGCGCAGGCGGUUAUAUAAGACAGAGGUGAAAUCCCCGGGCUCAACCUGGGAACUGCCUUUGUGACUGUAUAGCUUGAGUGCGGCAGAGGGGGAUGGAAUUCCGCGUGUAGCGGUGAAAUGCGUAGAUAUGCGGAGGAACACCGAUGGCGAAGGCAAUCCCCUGGGCCUGCACUGACGCUCAUGCACGAAAGCGUGGGGAGCAAACAGGAUUAGAUACCCUGGUAGUCCACGCCCUAAACGAUGUCAACUGGUUGUUGGGAAGGUUCCUUCUCAGUAACGUAGCUAACGCGUGAAGUUGACCGCCUGGGGAGUCGGCCGCAAGGUUGAAACUUAAGGAAUUGACGG
rnacentral:rRNA from 1 species